AUUGAACGCUGGCGGCAGGCUUAACACAUGCAAGUCGAGCGGAGAUGAGGUGCUUGCACCUUAUCUUAGCGGCGGACGGGUGAGUAAUGCUUAGGAAUCUGCCUAUUAGUGGGGGACAACAUUCCGAAAGGAAUGCUAACACCGCAUACGCCCUACGGGGGAAAGCAGGGGAUCUUCGGACCUUGCGCUAAUAGAUGAGCCUAAGUCGGAUUAGCUAGCUGGUGGGGUAAAGGCCUACCAAGGCGACGAUCUGUAGCGGGUCUGAGAGGAUGAUCCGCCACACUGGGACUGAGACACGGCCCAGACUCCUACGGGAGGCAGCAGUGGGGAAUAUUGGACAAUGGGCGGAAGCCUGAUCCAGCCAUGCCGCGUGUGUGAAGAAGGCCUUUUGGUUGUAAAGCACUUUAAGCGAGGAGGAGGCUACCUGGAUUAAUACUCUAGGAUAGUGGACGUUACUCGCAGAAUAAGCACCGGCUAACUCUGUGCCAGCCGCCGCAGUAAGAC
rnacentral:rRNA from 1 species